GACGAACCGUGCGAACGUUGUUCGGAAUCACUGGGCUUAAAGGGCGCGUAGGCGGGCCUCCAAGUCCGGGGUGAAAUCCUCCAGCCUAACUGGAGAAGAGCCUCGGAGACUGGGGGCCUCGAGGAGGGUAGGGGCAAGCGGAACUAUGGGUGGAGCGGUGAAAUGCAUUGAUAUCCAUAGGAACUCCGGUGGCGAAGGCGGCUUGCUGGACCCUUUCUGACGCUGAGGCGCGAAAGCCAGGGGAGCAAACGGG
rnacentral:rRNA from 1 species